AGUUAAUACAAAUUUGAAUUGUUUGUUUGUUUAGAGAAGGGAUAUUUUUGGUUCUUGGGAGCAAUAUCUUGGUCUGGAACACACUGUCAAUGCUCCAAAAAGGUCUUACGCAGUUAACCAGGUUCCAGCUGUCUACAACGAUCAUUUCUCAAAUAUCCAGAACCGUCACGCAAUUGAGAAGCCUGUAAAAAUCUACAACUAAUCAAUCUAUGAAUCAGUAUAUAACACCUUAUGGCAGUGACACUUACAGUUUUAUGAAGUGAUGACAGAAGUGUAGAUUCAAUCUUUGUCAAUUUGUAGCUUCAUCAUUACUUAGGGGGAUAGGUGUAUAGCUUGAUCUGUCUUUCCUGGUAGUUAAAACUCAAUAACUCCUCGUCUCUUUGGUUUUAAUUCCUUUGUAAAUAAUAAAUAAUAAGAUUUUGGGUUGGAUUUUUGUCUUUGAAUUA